UACGUAGGGUGCAAGCGUUGUCCGGAAUUAUUGGGCGUAAAGGGCGCGUAGGCGGCCGAUCAAGUCGGGGGUGAAAGCCUGUGGCUCAACCACAGAAUUGCCUUCGAUACUGUUUGGCUUGAGACCGGAAGAGGUAAGUGGAACUGCGAGUGUAGAGGUGAAAUUCGUAGAUAUUCGCAAGAACACCAGUGGCGAAGGCGGCUUACUGGUCCGGUUCUGACGCUGAGGCGCGAAAGCGUGGGGAGCAAACAGG
rnacentral:rRNA from 1 species